rnacentral:ncRNA from 1 species
CGUGACCGGCCGGACACUCAUGUGACCGGCCCACAAGUGGAGGCUCCGAUCUCCCACCUGACCGACCUCCGGGACGGCAGGUCACCGGUCCGGCAGUGCCCAUCGUUCCGUACGGACGAUGUGGAACCGCCCGAUGCGCCCCGCGGUGAAACGCGGCGGUGUUCCGGUUUGUGAGGAGCCCGCCUGUGUCCCGUCCGGGGCGUUUUGC